rnacentral:lncRNA from 1 species
GUGUGGCUCAUUUAAGAAUCUUUUAUAAAAAGAAGAUACCAAUGAACUUCUAUGAAACUGUUUCACGGGAUUCAGCCAAUUCUCUUGAUCGUUGAAUAUCAUUGAGAAAUAGGAAUUGGGAUCUUUAGCUUCCUGAAUUCGUCCUGAAUUCGAUUCUUUUAUUUUUUUAAAUGAUGGUUGAAAAAAGCUUUCGUUUUGGUUUUUAUUGAUUCUUUAUAGUUCCAAACAAGUUGGGGUCGGCAAUGUGAUUCCUUAUUACUCCAUUUAAGCUCAGCCCAUGUCAUUACCAUUACUAAAAAAAAUUAAUUAUAUCAAGGACAAAAUAUUUCUAAGAGGGAAACUAAAAAGAGGUAUACCAAAAUGUGGUAUAAUAAACAAAUUUUGGAAUCCUCUUUUGAACAUGAAACUUUUGUUAUAAGUACUUUCUUUAAUUUUAAUUCCAAUUAAGUUUAAGCGAUCAUUAACUAAACAAGUAAUGGUUAUAGGGAAUUUUUGACAUUUACGUGAUCUAAUACAUGUAUUGGUAAUAGAUGUUGUACUUCCACAAUGAUUUCAGCUUAAAAUAAUAUUCCAAUUGCAAAAUAACUAAUGCAAGGAAUUUUUUUUGAUGGGCAAUGUUAAUGCAAUCGUUAUCGAUAUAUUGCAAUUAAAACUAGCACUAAAUAUGCAUAGCAAUGUAGAAUUUAUUGCCGGAAUUAUUUCCAAUAAUACAUCUAAUCAAACGAAAUGAAAGGAGAAGUUGCCGUCUUAAUCUACAAUGACACCGGAUAUCUAGUUAAAUGGGUUUCUUCUUUCUAUAUAUGUGUGUCAUACACAGACAAGUAAAUUCAAACCAAAAUCAAAGUGAGAUUUCUCUCAUUGUCAGUAAGGCAUAUUCAAUACUUCUCAAAUGCAAAUCAUGUCUAAUUAUCAGCCUAAAGAUCUAUCACAACCAGUAGUUAAAACCUUGUCUUCGUUACAGAUAAAGGCCAAUGAACUGAUGAAGAGGAAUAUGGAGGAAAAGCAUUUAAAAACUUUCCAAAUGCAAAUCAUGUCUAAUUAUCAGCCUAAAUAUCUAUCAUACAUGUAGAGAUUACCUACUGUAAGGACAUAUGUUAUUUAAACAAAUUUGUUCUCGACAUUGCUAAUCACCUAGAACCUCAUUGGUUAAUUCAUAUAUCCACAUA